CUGACACAAAUGGGAACUGAGGUCCUAUGUUUAUCCCCAGAGUUGGCAAAGCCUGGGUGGUGACAUGAAGGCUUGCCCACACAACCUUCCUAAUGCUCUUCACACCUGAAUUGAGGAGACAGCCUCAAAGGGUGAAAGGGUUGCUCAGUUUCCAUGUCCAUUCAGUCCUCAGCCUCU
rnacentral:sRNA from 1 species